rnacentral:rRNA from 1 species
UACGUAGGUGGCAAGCGUUGUCCGGAUUUACUGGGCGUAAAGGGCGCGUAGGCGGCGUGACAAGUCACUUGUGAAUCUCUGGCUUAACCCAGAACGGCCAAGUGAAACUGUUGUGCUAGAGUGCAGAAGGGGCAAUCGGAAUUCUUGGUGUAGCGGUGAAAUGCGUAGAUAUCAAGAGGAACACCUGAGGUGAAGACGGGUUGCUGGGCUGACACUGACGCUGAGGCGCGAAAGCUAGGGUAGCAAACGGG